rnacentral:rRNA from 1 species
UGUGCCAGCCGCCGCGGUAAUACCGGCAGCACGAGUGAUGGCCGAUCUUAUUGGGCCUAAAGCGUCCGUAGCCGGCCGAGCAAGUCCGUUGGGAAAUCCACGCGCUCAACGCGUGGGCGUCCAGCGGAAACUGUUCGGCUUGGGGCCGGAGAACUCGAGGGGUACGUCCGGGGUAGGAGUGAAAUCCCGUAAUCCUGGACGGACCACCGGUGGCGAAAGCGCCUCGAGAAGACGGACCCGACGGUGAGGGACGAAAGCUAGGGUCUCGAACCGGAUUAGAUACCCUGGUAGUCC